UAACAGCAAGUGGGAGACUGAAAACGACAUAAGAAGAAAUCGUUUCACUGUCCACUUUAAGUUCAUCUCAGAGUCCGAAAGGAAGUCUCGCCGAAACGUUAACGGUGCAUCUCAACUGUCCCGAGAGGAAAGAGUUCAGGGUGUUUGUUGAACCGGUACGAUGCCUAGUUGUACCUCUAAAACGUACCUGGUGGAGACAGCCCUCCCUGACCAGCUGACGAGUAGCCUACACCUGUUGCGCAGGUCCCUCCACUCUUGCAGAGACUGGCUGAAGUCCACACUGCUCAUGGGUAUCUUCACAGCUCCAAUAGCAUCAUGUUUUGAGAAACGGUCAAAGUCAUACACAGUCAUCACAAGGCUCUUCCCGCCCAGCUCAGUGUAUGGUACCUGCAGAGCAGAGAACAUGAUUAAGGGCAGUCAUUUUGCACAUAUAUUAACAGAGUUGCUAGUCAGGGGAAAUGACCUUUAUUUAUGUUGGUGUAUUACAAUUUACCUUAAAUGUGAAAGUCUCAUUGAAGUUCGGUUCCAAGGUCUUUCUAUGAACUUUGGUUUCAAACUUUUUCUUUUUGUCUGGUAGCAGAUAGAGUUUAACGUAAGGGUCAGAACUUCCUCCCACGUCCAUCGCAGGUAGCUCUGCAGCCUGCAAGAUGCCUACCACCAGCUGGAACAUGAUAACAGGGGAAUGUAAGAGGGAGAAAAGAGACUCUGGCUAAUUGACAGGGAGAAGAAAAGUAUUCAAAUGUGACAUUUUGAGAGCUGGCAGAUGGUGGGCAAAACGCAUCAUAGUGAAUAGCUGGGACUCACCGUAUUAUCUGUGAAAUUGUAGUCUAAUGUGAAAUGUAGUCUGCCCAGCUUCUCGUCUUCCUUGGGCUCGUUAUCUGACAGCUCUGUUUCUUUGUCACAUUCAUCUUUCAGGGACUGCAUGCAGACAGACAUGCAUCACAUCAGGAACUUCUUCCAUACGCACGCAGCGCAGGACAGCACCAUGCACAGGCUCACGAUACAAAGGGCAGCGACAGCCCAUGAUGGCACUGCAAAUCCACAAAGCACAGACAUUAAUCAUACAUAAAUGUUUGACAAAAUAUUUAGUUCUAGUUGUUUUCUCUUAAAACAGUUUUAAGGCAAAAUGAAAUAAAACAAAUUUCUACAUUGUCUGAAUUAAGAGUACAUAAAGUGAACACUGGGAAAUAGUGCAAUGAACCCUAAUGUUCCUGUAUUAUUUGUUGAAUAGCUGAUAAUUCAAGUCUUUAUGGAAUUUUGCAUUUAUUGUAAAUCAACUGUACAGCUCUACAGUGUUAUCUAUGAGGGCACAAUCCAUGGACAUUUUAGACCAUAAUUUGGGGUUAUGUUAAUCCAGAUUAAAACAUAUUGCAAGGU